rnacentral:rRNA from 1 species
UACGAAGGGGGCUAGCGUUGCUCGGAAUCACUGGGCGUAAAGCGCACGUAGGCGGCUUUCUAAGUCAGGGGUGAAAUCCUGGAGCUCAACUCCAGAACUGCCUUUGAUACUGGAGAGCUUGAGUCCGGAAGAGGUGAGUGGAACUCCGAGUGUAGAGGUGAAAUUCGUAGAUAUUCGGAAGAACACCCGUGGCGAAGGCGGCUCUCUGGGACGGUACUGACGCUGAGACGCGAAAGCGUGGGGAGCAAACAGG